rnacentral:rRNA from 1 species
CCAAACUCUUGUUAUUUUAUUGUAAUCUGAGCGUCUUAUUUUAAUAAGUCAAAACUUUCAACAACGGAUCUCUUGGUUCUGGCAUCGAUGAAGAACGCAGCGAAAUGCGAUAAGUAAUGUGAAUUGCAGAAUUCAGUGAAUCAUCGAAUC